UAAAGGAGGAGGUGUGAAAGUUAAUGCCUGUAUCAACAGGAUAUAAACUUCCUGGAAAAUAAAAAUCUAUCUGAAAAAUAGAAGUUUACAAGAACAGAAAAUGAAAAUCUGAAUGUUACGAUUAAAAUUCCAGAAACGCACACACAGCGGUUAGGUUUAAAGUGGGUGCCUGAUCUCUAGUAAGUGAUUUCUGUCCCUCUCUGCCUGGCGACUUGCAUGUUCUUUAGAAGAAGUCUCCCAGUCACAUCGCGGUGUCAUCACGCUUAGUUAUAAUCCGGGAGCAUUUGCCAGUUUUAGUUCAACAAGUGCUAAGCAUUUUGUUGCCAUAUGUGCUGUAACCAGAUUUUUUUAAUGUAGCUUUCGAAGCUACAGAUCUCCUUCUCUUUUUUGAUAGAAAAAUGUUAAAAAAAAAAAAAAAAAAACCAAAAGCAAAAUACAAAUUUGGUUUUGAAACAGAAUUCAGGGAAACCUUCUGAAAACCUACCUGCUACCCAGAAAACAAGAUGUUUACUCUCCCCUCCUUUAGUCCAGAUCAAAUGUCAGUAGCUGCUAUUUCAUCCACCCUUUAUAGAACAAAUGCCAGACAGGAUGACAUAUGAGAAGACAUUCAGUGCUCUGCGGUCAUCAGGAAUAGUUACAGAAGGAAAAGGACAAGCCAGUACCCAUGCCGCCAGGAGCUCUCCCACUGCAACAGAUGGAGGGUGGCCAGUGGAUGGAGGCUUUGCUGUGUUGAAGUUGCUGUUCGCAGUGCUGGGUGGUAGCAGUGAAUGAGGCAGAGGAGGCCCCACUUCAAUGAGCUUUACAACCUGCGCCAGGACACAGGAAGAAGAGGAUGCUAGUACAGACAGGGACAAGAAUGCUUGAGAGAUGGCCUGCACAAUCUAGAUUCCUAGAGACCACCACAACUGCCCAGCUGGAAACAGUCCUGGAGGUCCCACCCAACAGAGGCUCCAGAAUCAGGAGCAGCUCUGCCCUGUGAUAUCUGACAUGUGGUCCUGGAGAGUCCAGGCCUCUCUGCCCUUUGAGCCUCUGUGCAUGAAAUACUCUGUUAUCAAUCUAACAGCUUUUCAUUUAUAAUUUAGCCGUAGCUCAUCACCCACCUCAGAGGGGUAGCAUGAAAUCUAAUGAGACUGAGUCUAGAGGAUACUAUGAGCUUCUUGGAAGACAGACAGCUCAUAAAUAAUGCACUAAAUACUGGAAUGAUCUCCCGAGUUUUUCACUUUCAGGUAACAAAUUUUUUAAUAAAAAAAGCUCUAAUAGCUUCAAAAUCAGAAAUCACUAAAUGCUUGCUUUUAUACUUUCCUUUUCAUAUUUAUGCACUAAAAUACUUUUUUUGGAAAACUUAAUGAUGUGGCGUUAAGUUUGUAUUUUCCUUAUGUUCAUAAUUACAUAUGAAUCUAUAUUCAAUAAACACUUUGUGAGACCCUAUUAUAUGUUAGUACUUUCCCAGGCCUGAGAUCCAGAAGAAAGAAAGGGGAAAGAUCUGACUCUAGUUUAGGGAGAUGCUCAGUAUAAACGGAAAAGGCUAGUGAUACCUUUUCUUAUGCAUAAUUCUUUUAGUUUAAUCUGCAUUUAUUAUUUUUGAGAAAUAACCAGUAAUAAUACUGUUUAAAAGAUUAUACAGAAAAGGUUCUAUCACAGAAAAUGCUUGAAAAUUACCAAUGUCCAACUUUGAAUGUCCUUUAAAACCACUUUAUACAUAUUUACCUAAGUCCCAACUUUAAUCCAGAAGAAUACAAACGCACGUGAUGCAAGCAGAGGGCAUUCGGGGAGCAAACCAAGCCAGCCUCACGUGAGUGAGUCGUCACUGGGGCUGCUGAAAGUAUGGGACGCUCUGAAGGAGCGCAGAGCCGCGGCUGAACAAUCGGACAUCUGCUAUUUCUCAGAGGUUUACACCCGAGCUGGCGUGAGCUCUCGCAAAGGUUGAGUCACACACAGCGUUUCGUCUCCCUCAUUUCAACGGUGUUUUCUGUUAAUGUUCACAAACUCAAUGCAGGAACUAAGACAGCUACUGUUGGUUCUUUUUUGGAGAAAAGCUAGCAAAGAAAAGCGGGAGCACUUCGGGAUAUCAUGCAAGUCAGAACAAAUACAGGUACAAUUGGAGCCCCACUUCAGCAUCCAUCCUCCCACUGGCUGGAGAUGCACAGGUGAUUAUUCUCUCUAGGUUGUGAAAUUGUGUGGAUAAUGAUGCUGCGAAUCAGUGAUGAAAGCUCGACUCCACUUAAAUGAUGUUUGGGAUUAUUUGCUCUCACCCUUUGAUUUUUAAUGAUUCACAGGAAAUGCAAAAGGGUUACUUUUUAAUCCUCUUUUAGGAAAUGAAUGCCCUGAACUUCACCAGAUGUUCAUGCCCAGCGAUAAGUUUAUGCUUCCAGUUUGAAGUCACUUAUUAAAAUUGCUCAUAAAUCUAAGACCAUCUGAAGAUAAUUAGCUGGUUUGCAUAAAGGUAAAUCCAUUGUAGAGAAGGAUGGGCUGAGACAGGCAACAACAAGGUGAAUUUAAAUAAAAUUCUUAAGUACACCUAAAGACAGCAUGGUCUAAGUGACUAGUAAAAUAGUCAUAUCCCUAAAAAUCGUCUCACACACGCAUGUACACACACAUGUGCAUACGUGCACGCACAUGCACACACAUAGGCGCACACAUGCUCACAAGAACAUAGGAAGGGUCAGCGUCUCUCAUUUAUCCCCUCAUUUCCAAGACACUGAAAGUGAACAUGAGGAAUGGACUUAGGUCUCUAAGAAAGAGGCUCAACCUCUGAACUUCUGUUUUCUCAUGUAAAUUGGAAAAGUGAUACCUUUCUGGCGGGGCUGUGGUAUAUAUGAAAUAAGCUAACGUAUACCAAGUGCCUGGCAUUGCUCCUGCUACACAGAAGGUGAUACCAGUGACUAGUUACAACCUUGUUACUCUGUUGUUGUCUGGGGGAUAUGACUAUUUUACUAGCCACUGAGACUAUGCUCUCUUUACAUGCAUAUCAGAAUUUUCGUUAAAUUCACCUCGUCGAUGACCCUCUCAGAGCAUUCUUCUAUAUAAUGGAUUCACCUUUAUGUAAACCAGCUAAUUAUAUUCAGAUGGUCUUAGAUUUACUAAGAAAACUCCACAAAAAUUAACUAAUGACCAAUAAUUACAUGAAAAGGGUGACAAAUUCUUCAAUAAUCAGAGAAUAGUGGUUAGUAAGAUGCCAUAUUUCCUGUCCAGGAGAUAGUCAUAUGCUUGGAAUGUUAAUAGAGUUCAUUACUGUGAUGGAAAAUGUUUUGUGGGUUGUUUAAAAUGACUCUCUGAGCUUUAAUUUUUCAAAACUGUAGAUGAUUUUUUCAUCAUAAAAAGUACCCGACUUCUGUUUUUAGGGUAAAACUGCCUUGAAAAUAUUGACCCCCUGUGUUUUGUAAUAUUUAAAAUCAAACCAAGCCCGUGAAGCCCGGCAGAGUACGCACUCGGACAAGGACAGUGUCAGCUGUCCUCCCUCCGCAUCUUCAGGGCCCCAGUCCGCACUGGCCAGGAAUCAUUCGUCAGUGAACGCUU